GUAGCCUAAGACUGGGCGCGGAAGUUCAGGAAGCUUGCCAACUGCGAUCCUUGCAAGGCUUUUAUUGGCCACGUACACUUACGAAUAACCCCGUAACGAGCUGCAACUUCAACCCUUAUGGGAGAAAGUAACGACUUUGGUACGAGGAACAGAGAAAAGAGAGAAGAAUGGGGCUGGUUGAAAGAAAAUGGGAAAUAGGAUAAAUUCAUGACACGUAAAUUGUGUGAAAUUUCAGAUCGUGAAACUUUGUUAUAAAAUUCUGGAAAAAAAUUUUAUUAUCCUUAUCCAACUUCCUACCGUCAGUUUCACACAUUUUUUCCUUCGAAUUAAAUUUAUAUCUCUGAAUCGUUUAUAAUUAAACUCUUAAGUGGCUUAGGAGAAGAUUUGUCUCAUUGUCCGCUAUCAUCAGUUUCACUUUGAUGGGAUAACGAAGAAGCUCUUCGAACCGAUCAUAAUUUUCCUUUAUUUUCCGAAGCCUUAUUAGGAGCCAGAAUAUUUCGUUCGUCAUAGAGGAAAACAGCAACGCGACGAAGCAGCGAUUACUGUCUUCCCAAAGCUGACCUAAUUUCUCGUUUCAGGAAGUACCUGGCUGGCAGAAGGAUUGGUGGUACUGUUGAGGACAGAGGGAAAAUCAUCUAAGAGAAGAUGGCUCGCGGUGGCGAAACGAGCCAAGUUCCAGGAGGAUGGAAGAUGGCGAUUUAGCUGCAGAACGUUGGAGAUCGUAAAUCAUAGAAGGAAAUUGCGGUGCAUCGGAUGGGAGCCUUUGGAUAACGAAAAUUCGAUAAGAGAAUGAAUUCGGUCGAUUAAGAAAGAAGAAACUAAUUUAUUAACCGAAGCGAAUAACGUAAGUACACUAACGUAAAUACUUUUUAUUGAACGACUAUAGUUGCCGAUAUUAAUUGAAGGGUUAAUUAGCUUCAUUUGAAAUCUAUAUAAUAUUCGUACAAUUCGUAACGCAUAAAAAAAUUGGGAUAAUUCGAAACCACUCGAUUGAUACGAAUACAAAUUGAAUGAAUCUACUGGGAAAGGAGAAACGCGUUUUGCGAAGGUAAACCAAUAGGAAAAGUGGGAACGCCUGGAAAUCUUGUAGUUGUCGAAUCGUUCGGUCUCAAAUUGCAAUCGUGCAAAUGUACAGGUCGUCUCAAAAUAGAUGUACUUUGGGAAAAGUAAAAAUUCUCUAUCUUUAGUUUACUAUAUCAUACCCAAUUAUUACUCAUUCUUAAUUUUAGCUGCCCUCUUAUUCAUUUUUAAUGGUUCAUAUUUUGAUAUAAAAUACUGAUAUUUAUUUUUGAGACGUCCUGUAUAGACGACGCAGCGGUGAAGCGUAUCGCAAAGUACAGUGGUCGGAUUUUCACUGGGAAAAAGGAUUUUCAACGUACAGGGAAACACGUAGACAGAGGUCGGAGGAAAUUUCGUAUACGUGUUUACCGUGGUUAGAUUCGUGCGUACGUGCUGGCUGAAACGGUAUCGGAGACGUUACCAGCACGUACGGUAUCCACCCAUCUAAACAGACCACGACGGAUCCGAAUUUGGUUUCCCCGAUCAUCCUUUUACUUACAACUCGGUCUGAUCGUUCACUGUCACUGAGUUAUCUUAGUUGACUGUAACUUACCCUUCGUGUCUACGCUUCUUAGAAACAAUUCUACAUCUUAAAUAAUCCAUCAUCAUAAAUUUUAGGAUGUUAUAACGAAAAAUAGCGUAACUCUUAAUAAUCUAGUAUCAGUUUUUAUUUCAACUAAACAAUUUGAGAAUUAGUCUGUACAUCAUUUUCGACGGUGGCUUCAAAGACGUAUUCAGCACCAUCUGCAACCAUCAAUAUUCAUCUUAUUCGUCAGUGUUCAUGACAAGCGAGGAGUUGAAAUCCCGCAGAAGUCUUUUACAAAAUCGUCGAGAAUAGUUCGGAAGCAGACUUUGAAAGCAGGAUAGAGAACUAAAGCAUCCUUGGUUUCCGAACGCGUCGUGUCUUUUCGGGACGAAAUCUCCUUAUCAAACUCGGAAGCGUAAGAAAAAGGAGAAUCUGCAAUUACAAUUAGGCUUCAGCGGUGCUAAAAUCGUCUUCGUCAAAGAGCCAACUAGCCGUACCAAUGAAAUGUUCUAGGAAAAAGAGGCAUAAAACAUGAGCCUUCUGAAUCCUCAACAUUUUUACUUGCUUCUCUUCAUUUACAUAUUGUACUAUGAUAUGUAACGAGUGCAAAACAUUUGUUUAAUCACUCUGUACUUUUGCCUUAUAGGGCAGCCAUGUUUCUAUGUUAGAAUUCUACUGAAUAUUUCUUUCUUUCCCUUGAACACGGUGGCUAUGUAUCGCUGUGUCUUUUCCACUCUAUUUCCGUCUUUUUCUCGUCGCUGUUCGUCCAUGUUUGGCCAGACUCCAGGAAGUCAUCGUUCGAGUCACCUGGUACGUGUGUGAUUUACACACGUCCUUCGUCAUCCGGUGUGUCAGCCUGUAUCCAGUGCAGCUAACCCUUCGCGUACCGAUUCAUCACCCUAACGAUCCGGCCCCCAGUUCGUUACUGUACCGUAACGGUCAUUGACGGCCUGCAAAAUAGUGGUGACCACCUCACUCGAUUGAUUUAAUCCGUCGUUACACGGAAAAACGAAGUACGUGAUUCUGACCGUGAACGAAUUCACUUCAUGGCUAUCCGAACUGUUACUUUUUAUAGGGAUUUCGCUCGAAACCAGAGGAUUUACAAGGAACACGUAUCUACCUAGCAUGUUGGUUACUUUGUCACGCAGACACUAUGGCGAGGCUUAAUUCGUAGAUAAGGUUGGUAUUUUUAAAUAACUUUAUUUUAUUCACUUGGAAAAUGUCCACAGGGUACUAACUGUGGUUACGAAACAAGCAAAACCACGUUAAAUAAAAAAGAUGUUUCCAAACGAAAUUGAAUAAACGCCUGCAUUUUUAUGGUUUUGCGUCCUUCGUGUAUGUACAUACACAGGCCAUUACACUUUGGAGGUUUUCAUUGUCGGCUUCAUGUUUUUGAAUUGAAAUUCUUUAUUUGCUUUACGCUAUACCAUUCAUUGUUCGUUCGAUUCAAAAAGAUUAAAUUUGUUUUUACCAAUGAAUGGUACGUUUUCCUACCACGUUCGAUUGUUCCAAACAAAUUCUUGAACAAAAACCAAUCUUUUCGUUCGAUUUAUCUCGUUUAUGUAUGGUUUUUAUACUAGAACCAUGGCAUAUCCAUUGAAUUUUUAAAAUCAAACAUAUUGUGUCUGCCCAUAAGUAACUUAUUCGUAAAAUUGGUUCGAUGCAAUUAUAGUUCGAUUAUUAAGGAAAAAAUAUUCCUAGUAAAAUAUUUAUUUAAUUAAACAAGAUAUUAUGUCUUUUGCAAUUAUAGUAUGCUUUUAAUUAGGCCCGGGAAGCGCUCCCCACUACUGCCGGUACCCCCACUCCGUAUCCUUCUCCCUCCUCUUCUUCCACGCUUCGGGUGCGCAGUGCGCAUGUCGGUAGUCGUCCGAGAGUGGGGAACGAAGUCGCAUCGGUACAUGCGUCGCGUCGUAAGUCGUUCGGGCCUGCUCUAAACUUUUGAAUGGCAAUAUACAGGUUGGAAUACUUCUACACCAACUAUGUUCGAAGACAGCUCGAUAUCGAAUGCGUUGUGCCAGUAUCCAUAAGCGAAAGCUUUCGCGUUCCUUGAGGUAUGAGCCUCUUGGGAGGUCAUAGGCUUGUGGAAGGGUGAAAUGUUACGUGUAAGUUGGGUAAGUGGUGUUAGCAACGUGUGUACACACCCUGCCGUAUGGAACUGAAAUUCUGUAGGACUCAGCUUCGAACCUUCAACGUAUACGUAUGCUUCUCCGCGUCUAUGCAAAGUCUGCCUAAUGCUCGCCAUGCAUCACUGCAAUUGCGUGCACCGUCACCUCUGCAGCCGCAGCUCUAUUACGCGAGGAAGGCUGGUAAGGAGACGGUAAAAGAUUGAAGAGACGUGGUCAAUUUAUAUGGGUUGAGAAGAAAAAAUGAAAUGAAAUUUUUGCACGAUGUCCUAAUUCAAUUGCCGUGGACUGCAGCCUGAAAAAUAUGUAAAGCAACGUUUCAAAGGACAGAAUUUGCGAAAUUUUGAAAGACUACUGUAAUAGUUAAUGAGGAAUGCUGUACGUGUCCGGUAGAUCAUUGUAUGGGCAGAUUUUGACCACGAGAGAUAAGCUUCCAGGGGAGAUGGACCUGCAUCUCGAGAGGAAGUUUUGCAUACUGUAGGGCGUGUAUCCGUUCUCAGAGAUGAAGGAGGUCGCAAGCUGUUCAAUUUAUAAUUUCCUUUGGGGAUCAGAGAAGCAAACGACAAGAGGAAGUUUCCACGGAGAACGGCCAACUAUUUCCAGCGACAGUUAAGUCUUCCAUCGGGAUUACCGUAGUUUCCACUUUACCUGACCUACCGCAAAACUCUAUUGACACGGCUACAAUUUCCUUUCUCGAGGUUAGAAAGUAAAGAUUAUGAAGAGCUCGUACUUUAUUCCUUCAUUUUCAUUCGAGAUCCUUCGUGACUCAGUCAGUCCUUUUUCUUCCUUUGAUAUUCGGGAGUUUUUUGAUUUUUAAUAAACAACUCAGUAUUUAUAAAAUAUUUAUAUUACUUUAUUGUAUGUCAAAAUACAGAUAUGAUUUUAUGAUAUAAAGGUGCUAUAUAAUAUCACUUAUGACACAUCAAUUUAAAACUUAAAGAUUGUUGAAAAUGACCAGACACUCCUUCAAUGUUGUCCUUGUUUCUGUUACAGGAGAACAUGCAGAAAUCAUCUCUAUCCUUGUGGUGACUACAGAUACAAGAAGACUGGACAUUCCUUUGUUUUCGAGGGGCAUCAUUUUGGAGGUUCCAGACAUCCAGGUGACGUUAGACGGUAUGACCAGUCCUGCCUAUUUCACCAGUCCUUCUUCUAUCACAUCUCGCCUUGACAACUGAAAAACACAAUUUUUACAUUCUUUAAUUUUCUUCCUUAUACAAAAUCAUAAUUAUUAAUUCAAAUAAUUGUUUAACAAACUUGUAUUUACUUGAUACGUCUUAGUAAAUAAAUUACUUUAAAA